GGUAGCGUGUCCGAGCGGCCGAAGGUGCUCGCCUCGAAAGCGAGUGUGGUGUCAAAACCACCGCGGGUUCAAAUCCCGCCGCUACCGCCA
rnacentral:tRNA from 1 species